rnacentral:misc_RNA from 1 species
GAAAAUCUCCCAUGUAAAAAUGCUUCUCAACAAUAAGUAUUCGUACUCUUUACCAUAAUAAAGUCAAUCUCUAAAAAGUUUAAUGUUAUUAUUUUGAGAAAAAAAUAAUUGAAAAGAAAAGAAAAAAGGAGGUUAUGCCAAAUACAAAAAGUCGAAAAACUCCUUCGUUAGAGCGAAAGUGAUUUCACACAAAACCCAAGGAGUAGGACAGUCAAGGUGAACGAAGCAUCGGCGUAUGAGAGAGAGAGAAGUAUGGGACUGUCAAGCAGAGUAGGAGAUUGGGCUUUCAAGGCGUUCACCGCUAGUCUAGGCGUCGCCACCAUUUAUCUCACCGCCACUUUCUCCGUCAACGUCUAUAGAGGCCUCGCUUGGCACAACGCUCAGUCGGUACUUUCUUACUUCUUAUUCCCCCUUCUCUUCCUCUUCUGGCCUGACCUAGGGCUUUGCUUUUCACUUAUGGCUUAUUCGUUUUGUCUUAAAUAUCAAUCAGCUGAUCCUAAUACUUAUGUUUUCACUCAUCAUUUCCGUUCCUCAAUAACGAUCCAUAAAAUUUCCAGCUUUAUAUAUCAUCUUAGAGAUAUGUACAAUAUGGGCUAUUCUGUAAAUUGCUAAAAUUCGAACCUCUAGGUUUUAAUAGGCAGGUGUUAGUGAUUAUUGUAUGAGCUAAAUCCAUGUGGGUUGUUCUAGUCAGCGAUAAUUCCUAUAACAAAAAAAUAAUAAAAAUUAUCUUAUUUAAGGAAUGAAGGGGAAUCUGGGAAGAUUAACACAUGAUCCAGUAAUGACUUGGAAUUUGUGUAGGCAUCUCUUCGGUUCUGUUUAUUUGAGCAUCUUGAAAGACUUGGAAACUGUGUUCAUGUCAAAAGGAUUGGAUCUUGUUUGCUUAGCCAUCGCCAUGUAGGAACAACUGACCUAGUGGCACCUACGUCAAUGAAAGUUGAGUAUGUGAAAUUCUUUCAACUGAAGCUUGCAAGAGAACUUUAAAACAUUGGCCAGAAUGCAAG